GAGAGGGAAGAGUGAAAGCUCUACCUUCCUGCAAGAGAGUUCUCCCAACCAGCCCUGCGCUUGCCCGUUGCGGAGUCUCUACUCCUCCUUCUAGAUCUGCGUUCUGCAGCUCAGAGGCACCACCCAUACGGAUGCUGUGAGAAUCUGCCCUCUGUGACUAAGUCACGUCAUGAGGAGCACCAAAGGAAG
rnacentral:lncRNA from 1 species